rnacentral:tRNA from 1 species
GGUUCCAUAGUGUAGCAGGUAGCACAUCUGCUUUACAGGCAGAAGGUCCUAGGUUUGCGUUCCAGUGGAGCCA